rnacentral:rRNA from 1 species
AUUGAACGCUGGCGGCAGGCCUAACACAUGCAAGUCGAGCGGAUGAAGGGAGCUUGCUCCUGGAUUCAGCGGCGGACGGGUGAGUAAUGCCUAGGAAUCUGCCUGGUAGUGGGGGAUAACGUCCGGAAACGGGCGCUAAUACCGCAUACGUCCUGAGGGAGAAAGUGGGGGAUCUUCGGACCUCACGCUAUCAGAUGAGCCUAGGUCGGAUUAGCUAGUUGGUGGGGUAAAGGCCUACCAAGGCGACGAUCCGUAACUGGUCUGAGAGGAUGAUCAGUUACACUGGAACUGAGGCACGGUCCAGACUCCUACGGGAGGCAGCAGUGGGGAAUAUUGGACAAUGGGCGAAAGCCUGAUCCAGCCAUGCCGCGUGUGUGAAGAAGGUCUUCGGAUUGUAAAGCACUUUAAGUUGGGAGGAAGGGCAGUAAGUUAAUACCUUGCUGUUUUGACGUUACCAACAGAAUAAGCACCGGCUAACUUCGUG